rnacentral:snRNA from 1 species
AGCUUUGCGCCGUGGCAGUAUCGUAGCCAAUGAGGUUUAUCCAAGGCGCGAUUGUUGCUAAUUGAAAACUUUUCCCAAUACCCCCUGUGACGACUUGCAAUACAGUCGGCACUGCCAAUUUUUGACAGUCUCUAUGGAGA